ACGCGAAGCGAGCGCGCUGAUUUUAUUAGUUAAUGCUGCCCCGACUGCGCGUUUAACACCACCAUUCCCCACGUCGCACUAGUGCCAACAAAUAUGAUUUACGUGUUUAUUCGUCACUUGAGUGGUUUCCAUGCUGUAUAUAUUUGUUUCCACACGCGAGGGAAGCUAGCUAACUAGCAUGCUAGCCUAGCCAGGCGGUUAGUGUCUCUGCACACUAUUUGUGGUCGUUUUAAAAAGUGUAUCCUCUGUGUUUGUUUUUUUGCAACUAGUGGUAGUCUAGACUCCAGUUAAGUCGGAUUCAAACAGACCCAGUGCUGCCCAAUUUCCCCCCGACGUGCUUUGUUUUGCUUGUCUCUGUAUCAUAGCAUACUUUCGGGAAGUUACUAGCCUGCCGUCGCGCUCGUGAGGCCACCCCCUGCUUCCUAUUGGAAGGCAGGCCGUGUUUGUGUGCUCGUCCUGCCCAAAAUAUUUGUUACCAGGCAACGGUUAGGCAUGUCCCACUUCGGAGUGUUUUUUUGUUUACACCCCUUCUGGCUCUAACAAUAUUACGUAACCCCACAAGGCUUCCCUCUUUCACCCCACCGCUGUGCAAGAAAUAUGAUCGCCCUCUGUCAUCAGCCAACCAAAAUGGCCCUGUUUACCCCUGCUUCCACUUUGGCCAGAUACUCGCCGAGCAAUUCCGCCAGCUCUCCAGGAUCCUUCAGUAAGGACAGUUAAACCGUCAAAAGAUCCAUGCUGACUGCACAAGGACGAUUCCCAUGGCCUGUCUCAGCGUGAAUGGUCGUGGGGGGUGCUGGAGCCUAUCCCAGCUGUCUUCGGGCCAGAGGCGGGGUACACCCUGGACUUGUGGCCAGCCAAUCACAGGGCACAUAUAGACAAACAACCAUUCACACUCACAUAAGAUAAAAUAAAUAAUGUCAAAGAGGUAUUCAUUGAUUAUAUCUGAUGUCGCCCAAAGUCACCUGACAUAGGCUCCAGCAUACUUUCCUUAUUUAUAAAGCAAAUAUUUUCGAACUAUGAGCAUAGAAAACCAAUUUACAACCUUCUAAAUAUGUUUUUUUUAACAUUAAUAGAGCUUACAAGACAUUAAAUAACACCCCUAUUGUACUUUCACACGCAUAUUACCCAAUAUAGGAGACACAAUGAGAGAAAAUCGGUAAUUGAAAACAUGUGUGUGUUGCAGUACAUGUGUUCUGGGAGGGAGGAGAACAGGAAGUGAAGUUGGGGAUUCAGAGUUGAGUCAGGGUAUACUCUGGCCUGGUCGCUAGUCAAUUGCAGGGCACAUUUAGACAACACAUUUCCUUUAUGGACAUGCAGAGUUGAUUGUGUGCAUGUUCCAGAUGAAUUAAACCAUUAACAUUCAUACCCAAGUACAAUUUCGAGUCGCCAAUUAACCUAACAUGCAUUUUUUGGAAGUUGGGAGGUAGCUGGAGUAUCCAGAGAAAAUACAGAAAUGCCCAAAUUGAGAUUCAAACCCAGAUCAUCCCCAUCUACGGACUGUGUGGCCAACAUGGUGAACACCAGGCUACCAUGUGAUUGUUAGUCUCAAGCGCACACACACACACACACACACACACACACCUUUAAAUAUCCUAGCUAUGACGACUGCAAUCGUGCUGCUCAUCAAAUUUAUGCGUGAGCAAGCCGAGUCUAAAUUUGCCGAGAAGAAGCCAACUUACGCAAUCCUGCCUGCUUAGCCCAGCCCACCAGACCACACCACCACCACCACCACCACCACCACCACCAGCAGCUGCUGGCUUUACAAAGGCUUAUAACCCUCUCACUUUCCAACCAUCAGAUGCCGCCCCCACACAAUAUACUCUACAACUCGGGCGCUAUUCUUGUGGCAGCGACACCCCACCCCCCCGACACAAAAAUACCAGCACCACCUUCCCUGAACAGACGCCAAUCUCCCCGUCAAAGCAUCAUUACAUCCCACAGGACAGCUUGGGAAGUGGAGGGGUGGGGGGCAUCAUCAAAGUGCAAAAGGAGUAGGUGGUGGGGAGAGGAAAUAAAGAGUG